rnacentral:rRNA from 1 species
GACGAACGCUGGCGGCGUGCUUAACACAUGCAAGUCGAGCGAGGCCCUCCUUCGGGGGGUGCCCUAGCGGCGAACGGGUGAGUAACACGUGGGCAACCUGCCCUCAGCUCUGGGAUAACUCCAAGAAAUUGGUGCUAAUACCGGAUGUGACCGCUGACCGCAUGGUCUGGUGGUGGAAAGAUUCAUCGGCUGAGGAUGGGCCCGCGGCCUAUCAGCUUGUUGGUGGGGUAAUGGCCCACCAAGGCGACGACGGGUAGCCGGCCUGAGAGGGUGACCGGCCACACUGGGACUGAGACACGGCCCAGACUCCUACGGGAGGCAGCAGUGGGGAAUAUUGCGCAAUGGGCGAAAGCCUGACGCAGCGACGCCGCGUGAGGGGUGACGGCCUUCGGGUUGUAAACCUCUUUCAGUAGGGACGAAGCGCAAGUGACGGUACCUACAGAAGAAGCACCGGCCAACUACGUGCCAGCCGCCGCUGUAACAC